AGCAGCCGCGGUAAUUCCAGCUCCAAUAGCGUAUAUUAAAGUUGUUGCAGUUAAAAAGCUCGUAGUUGAAUUUCGGAAUCUGUCCGUCGGUCGGGCUUCAUUGUCCGUACUGGCGUGGUGGGUUCUUACCUUCUGAAUAACCAGCAUGCCAUUCACUUGGUGCGCUGGGGAAGCAGGACUAUUACCUUGAAAAAAUUAGAGUGCUCAAAGCAGGCUAGUGCCUGAAUAUAUUAGCAUGGAAUAAUAAAAUAGGACGGCAUGGUUCUAUUUUGUGGUUUCUAGGAUCACCGUAAUGAUUAAUAGGGAUAGUUGGGGGCAUUAGUAUUCAAUUGUCAGAGGUGAAAUUCUUGGAUUUAUUGAAGACUAACUUCUGCGAAAGCAUUUGCCAAGGAUGUUUUCAUUAAUCAAGAACGAAAGUUAGGGGAUCGAAGACGAUCAGGUACCGUCGUAGUCUUAACCAUAAACUAUGCCGACUAGGGAUCGGACGAUGUUAAUUUUUAAUGACUCGUUCGGCGCCUUA
rnacentral:rRNA from 1 species